rnacentral:rRNA from 1 species
UAGGGAAUCUUCGGCAAUGGACGGAAGUCUGACCGAGCAACGCCGCGUGAGUGAAGAAGGUUUUCGGACCGUAAAGCUCUGUUGUAAGAGAAGAACGAGUGUGAGAGUGGAAAGUUCACACUGUGACGGUAUCUUACCAGAAAGGGACGGCUAACUACGUGCCAGCAGCCGCGGUAAUACGUAGGUCCCGAGCGUUGUCCGGAUUUAUUGGGCGUAAAGCGAGCGCAGGCGGUUAGAUAAGUCUGAAGUUAAAGGCUGUGGCUUAACCAUAGUACGCUUUGGAAACUGUUUAACUUGAGUGCAAGAGGGGAGAGUGGAAUUCCAUGUGUAGCGGUGAAAUGCGUAGAUAUAUGGAGGAACACCGGUGGCGAAAGCGGCUCUCUGGCUUGUAACUGACGCUGAGGCUCGAAAGCGUGGGGAGCAAACAGGAUUAGAUACCCUGGUAGUCCACGCCGUAAACGAUGAGUGCUAGGUGUUAGACCCUCUCCGGGGUUUAGUGCCGUAGCUAACGCAUUAAGCACUCCGCCUGGGGAGUACGACCGCAAGGUUG